rnacentral:lncRNA from 1 species
GCCUAUGAACAAUGGUACAUAAUUACGAAUAUAAAAUGAUAAGGGACUAAGUAUGCUCUAUAUAUAUUAAUUGAGGGAUCAGAGAUUCUUAGAUUGAUGUAACAAAAAAAAUGAGUCUGAGGUACAAGCAUACAUCUUUUCUUAAUAAGUUGAGCUGCUAUAUCUUCUAACAGGUAUAUAGCAAUGAGCUCUUAAAUAACAGUAUGCUGGUCGCAUGGAUUAUUUGCUAAGUAUAAAUGUAUAGAGAAAAG